UACCAGCUCUUCGAGUGGUGUGGAUGUUAUUGGGCCUAAAGCAUCCGUAGCUGGCUAGGUCAGUCCCUUGUAAAUCCACCGAAUUAAUCGUUGGAUCGCGGGGGGAUACUGCUUGGGCUAGGGGACGAGAGAGGCAGACGGUAUUUUCGGGGUAGGGGUGAAAUCCUAUAAUCCCGGGAAGACCACCAGUGGCGAAGGCUGUCUGCUAGAACGCGCCCGACGGUGAGGGAUGAAAGCUGGGGGAGCGAACCGGAUUAGAUACCCGGGUAGUCCCAGCUGUAAACGAUGCAGACUAGGUGUUUGGACGGCCACGUGCCGUUCUAGUGCCGCAGGGAAGCUGUUAAGUCUGCCGCCUGGGGAGUACGAUCGCAAGAUUGAAACUUAAAGGAAUUGGCGGGGGAGCACCACAAGGGGUGAAGCUUGCGGUUUAAUUGGAGUCAACGCCGGAAAUCUCACCGGGAGCGACAGCAGUAUGAAAGCCAGAUUGAAGGUCUUGCUAGACGAGCUGAGAGGAGAGGUGCAUGG
rnacentral:rRNA from 1 species